rnacentral:lncRNA from 10 species
AAAAACUUACAUCCAAAAAGUAGAAAACCUUCAAAUAAACAACCCAAGGAUGCAAUUUAAUGAACUAGAAAAGCAAGAACAAACCAAACCCAAAAUAAGCAAAAGAAAAGAAAUCAUAGAGAGCAGAGCAGAAAUAAAUUAAAUGGAAACAAACAAUGUAAAAGAUGAAUGAAAUGAAAAAGAAAACUACAGGCCAACAUUCCUGAUGUAUAUGGAUACAAAAA